rnacentral:rRNA from 1 species
CCUACGGGUGGCAGCAGUGGGGAAUAUUGGGCAAUGGGCGCAAGCCUGACCCAGCAACGCCGCGUGAAGGAAGAAGGCUCUCGGGUUGUAAACUUCUUUUAUCAGGGACGAAGCAAGUGACGGUACCUGAUGAAUAAGCCACGGCUAACUACGUGCCAGCAGCAUCGGUAAUACGUAGGGGGCAAGCGGUAUCCGGAUUUACUGGGGGUAAAGGGCGUGUAGGCGGGAAAGCAAGUCAGAUGUGAAAACCAUGGGCCCAACCUGUGGCCUGCAUUUGAAACUGUUUUUCUUGAGUACUGGAGAGGCAGACGGAAUUCCUAGUGUAGCGGUGAAAUGCGUAGAUAUUAGGAGGAACACCAGUGGCGAAGGCGGUCUGCUGGACAGCAACUGACGCUGAGGCGCGAAAGCGUGGGGAGCAAACAGGAUUAGAUACCCGAGUAGUC